CUGCGCUCGAGCCGGGCAUGCUCGUCGGCGAUGCCGGGGCCCUCCCUCCUCGUGGCGACGGCGGGGCGCUAGAGCUGGGCAUGCUCGCCAGCGACGCCGCGGUUCGCUCGUGCUGAUGCACUCGCCGCGGCAGGAAGUUCCCUCCCCCUCCACCCUGCUCGGGACGCCAUGAAGGAGCAGGAGCAGUUGCUGCUGGAGACCUCCAUCUUGAUUAGGAUCACCACGAUGACCUCCGCGUGCUGUGCUUGGGACCCUCCCUAUGCUUCUCGUCGCUCCUCCGGGUCCAGAAACUUCUUUUGUGCUGCAACUAAUGGGGAAAUACAAAAAUACAAAUAAUGUCAAUUACUUUGAGCCUUUGAGUUAGAAGCUAGUUAAUGUACCCUCAGCGGCCGUGCUUGAUAGGAGGGGCCAGGGAAGUGCUUUAAGUCGUUCCAAGAAUGUGAGACAGUGUCAAGUCUGUAAGGCAAGUCAAGGGGAUCCUCGGCAAGAUCCUUCAGCGGUGCAGGAGAUUAAGGGUUCCAUAAUCGAUUCCGCGCUUAUUGCUGUCCCCAUUUUUCAGACUCAUCUGGGUUAUGUAGGUUCACGAUUGUACUGAGUUGGGGGUUCUCCUCCCCUGACAGCUGGGUGAAUGGCAAUUGUCGUGAAUGUCGCUGCAUCUGUUACAUGGAUGAGUUUUCAUAGGUGCCUCAUUAUUCGUCUGCAAUUUACAGAGAGUCUAACAAAUCUGGGAUGAUGGAAACAAGAGGGAAUGAGGGCGCACCUGCGUUGCAGAGGAGUUCGUGGACGGUGACGGCGUGGUAAGAGCUCAACGGCGAUAAGGCAGGACAACCUGGGCGGCGGCGUCUUAAAGCGUCACCAAGCCUGGACGGUGGCGGCAUGUAAAAGCUUCACGAAGUCCAGAAGAGCGUAGACCUGUGAUGGCGAAGUAGUCGUCGUCGCCGGGUGCCUCGCCGGCUGCGUAGGGCGUACUCCUCGUCGCGUCCGUCGCCGGGUGCCUCGGCGGCUGCGUACGGCGUAGGUCAAUCUGGAUGCCUGGAGGGCCGGCUCUGUUUUUUUUUGUUUCUAUGCAGUUGAACAACCCAUUCGGAGAUUAUGUGAUGUUUUCCUUUGUAAGCAUAUUAAUAUUUUCUAGGUGGACUUUUUUUUUUUGGCCGAACGUGGGAGGGCAGUUUUCGUCUGCCCCUUGUUGGCUCUUUUAACAGUAGUGGAGAUGAACA